rnacentral:tRNA from 1 species
UCAAAAUGCAAGUUUGGAGGAGCACACAGGCUGUGUGCCGGGGCUUCUCCCGUUU